GGAGAGAUGUCCGAGUGGUCGAAGGAGACGGACUCGAAAUCCGUUGUACUGUUUUUACGGUACCGAGGGUUCGAAUCCCUCUCCCUCCG
rnacentral:tRNA from 1 species